GCUUACGACCAUACCCCGUUGAGAACACGACAUCCCGUCCGAUCUGUCAAGUUAAGCAACGGUGUACUUGUAUCGUAGCAGUUAGACCCGUUUUUGAAAUAUCAAACAAGUUGAAAAAU
rnacentral:rRNA from 1 species